UUUACUUUAUUAGCCAUAAUAACUGGCACGAUAUUGCAAUCUGAGAGCGAAUAUUUAUCUGGAAAUCGAUUGUUACCAGAGUCCUCGAGUAUCUUAGAACUCGGUACAAUAUCACCUGCAACAUUACGUUUCAACAUAACAUUGUUGAUAUGUUCGUGUUCCGGUAUAAUCUGUAGUAUUCUUCUCGUGUAUGGCUUAGUAAAGGUAAGAUUUAUUUCUAUUUGAUCAUUAUAUCCCAUCUAUAAUAAUAACAACAAUUUUCUUUCUAAUAUUAUUACUCUUGAAUAAUUCAUAUAUACAUACCUGUAUACUUUUUUUCCUUAUACGUUAAAGUAAAGAUAGAACAAGAAA